UGUUUUAUUUUCAGGUUUUCACUCAGCAGGAGAAAAUGAUUAUAACCAAUCAAUGACAAAGGGGGAGAUUGUUAGAAUCUAGUUAGAUUCUACUUAAGAGAAACCAUGGAGAAUUCUAAGAAUUUGGGAUUCUUUAAUACCAUGUGACUUGGAAAGAAAGUUUUUCUUCCUUGAGAAUAGACACAGCCGUGUAUCAUGAUAAAAGGGAAGAAUAUAUUUAUUUUCCAAGUUUUGGUUUGCUAAAUUGUCAUUAAUUGGUUUAUAUAUUUAUUAAGUAGCUAUUUUGGUUUAUACAGAAUUUGUAUUUCAAUAGAAUACAAAUUCUUUUGGAAAUUAGUGUUUGAUUAGGACUUAAUAUCUUUUGAUAUGGUUUAUUCCUAAUAAGCCUGAUACGUUUUUUUGAUGUUGGUCUCUUGUAGGAUUCUUUAUCAGGCUUAUAAAGGAGAAGCAAAGACAC
rnacentral:lncRNA from 1 species